UGGCCACACCCACUCAAAUUAAACAAACAAAAAAGAAUGAAUAGCAAGCCCACCCACGUGAAACACCUGGCUGCUGUCCAACUUUGGGAGCCACACAGCUUGCUCUGCCCAUUCCUCCCUACUGCCUCUUGCCUUUUAAGGAGCUUUGCCUUAUCCUGUGUGCCUGACUUCUACCUCUUCCUGCUUGGUGAGUAAAUGCCUUGUUUUGACCUUUGCUGCCUAGACCACAGCUAACUCCUUACCUGAAUUGAUUCUUAGCCCACAGUGCUACUUUCUAUCUCUGUCCUGGGGAAGCUAUUCCUAUUCCCCUGACCGCCUUAGUAAAGAAAAGGAGUUUGCCUGUUCCUGAAUCAUGCUUCGAAGACAUUUCUCUGGACUGUUGACUUCCUCAUCUACAAUUUAGGCUUCCAGCAGAAGGUGUGGCCCGAGAUUGUAGGUGUGCCUUCUAGCCUCAAGGUCUGGAUCAAAGGCCUGUGUCUUCUUGUCUCAAGAUCCAAAUCAAAGAUAACCAAGAAUAGCCAUCACAAGUGAGAAGCACUGCUCUAAAGUAUCCAAGAGCAUUCAUGACCAGGUGGAGCAGCUAGAGGUAGACAGACGUGCACACCCUUCACAAAGCAACUGCAGAUCAUCACAAGCCCUGUGGAGAGAACGGGGCAGAGUGAGCACAAGAGGACACAGCAAGACUCGCACAGGGAAGGCGUCUUCGAGGUUGUGGCUCUGAUCUUCCGAAGUCCCCUGGAGCCAAAAGAUACCUUAUCUGUAUUUGACCUGCAGUGACACAAUACCUACCACAGAAACCAAACAGUCAGGCUCCAGGUGCAAAGAUUAUAUCUCAACAAAAGAAGGGAGGAACGGUCCUAAGGCAGAAAAACAGCUGGCCUGUUCUGAGGACAAGCAGGCAGAGCCCAGAGCCCAGGGACAGGGAGGUUGUGCUGGACAAGAGGUAGUUGGGGACCUAAGAAACCAAGGACAGGAGUUUGUUUCACAAGCAACAAAAGCUAUGGGUGUCCCUUGUCAGAAGGCUGAUGUGGUUAUACCUCCCUCCCCCUCCCCCUACCCCCUCUCUCUAUAUAUGAAUGUUUCUUUCUCUCACAAGAGCUAUAAUGGUGCCAUACUGUCAUAUUGCAUUUUUCAUCCCCUCUGGCCUUGACAGUGGUCUUAGAAACUUAUGACGGGGAUACUGCUUUAUCCCCAUUUCCACAGUCAAGGCAAGGCUCAAAGAGACUGUAACUUACUACUCCACUAAUGACGGAAUAGAAUAUGUUCCUGAGUCCAAAUUGGACUAUUAGAAGCAACUGUUACCUCCACUACUGUGCUGAAAACGAAUGUAGGUGUGUGUGUGCUUCCCUUGUUAGGAUAAAAUACCUGAAAUAAUUAACUUAAAAGGAGAAAGGGCUUACUUAGCUCUUGAUUUGGGAGGUUUGGUCCAUAAUCAUGUGACCAGAUUUUUUUUUUUUUUUGCCUUCUAGUGUGGGUGUCAGAAGGCAAUGGUGGGAAGUUCAUGGUGGGACAAAAUGAGGGGAUAGGUGUCCUGCUAGCGCUUUGAAGUGCAUGCUCCCCACUUAUCUAAGGAUCUCCCCCACUAGGCCCUACCUCUUGAAAGUGUCAAAAGCCUCUGUUGCAAUUACUUUUUCUGGGAAGUCUGUUUACCCCUAAGACAUACAGGACAGAGAUAGACCAGAGAGCUGAUUCUAUCCAAGUCUAGUUUGGUGGAUGUGUGAAUUUAUUCCAGUUCUUCCAGGAGCAUGGGUGACUCACAAGCAGCUGCAUCAUCAGAAAGCCCCACCCUAGCAUGAGUGAUGACUCAGAAAAGCUGCAUCUCUGCAGUCUCCUCCCCAAGACAACCUUCCACCUCCUACGUACUACGUAUGUACGUACGUACGCUCUACCACUUCCCUAAACCGUGUGCAGCUGGAACAAGGUGAUGUGUAACUAGGGGCAAACAAGAGGAAGUGAGUGGCUGGGAUGGGGGGGGGGGUCUGAUUACCUUUCCUCAUGCCUCCUAGGCAGAAAUGAUAAUAGUGAGUAAUCACAGCUGCUCUGACCCCAAGAUGGCAAUGGCUAUGCCAUGAAGACAGUUUCACAACAUCUCUUAGUAUCGUCACCCCAGGUGAUGAACCUUUAGGGAACACUAAACAUCCAAACCAUAGUAGUAGAAAGGCCCCUUUAAAUCCCCUUUAGCUUCAUUCUCACCACAGAGCAUCAACUUAAUAUCCUUGCUUGUAGCUGAUAUUCAAUUUAGCUUGGACUUUAACCUGCUUCACCUGGUAUCUUCCUCUCUCUGAAAGCCCAGGCCUAAGCCUUUGUGUACUCCAGGCCUCUGGGCCCCAGUUGUAGUCCUGUACCAAUUAGAAGUCAACAAGUACUUAUGAAGCACUUACUAGCUACAGGCCGCUGGAAGGCUUGGAGGGAACCUGAAAUGGGUAAGAUGGGAGAUAAGACAAAUAUAUGGACUCUUUUUUUUUUUUUUUAAGACAAAGAUACUUGGGGAAAAGCAGGGAAUAAGAAUGCGGAAGAAGAAGCCGGUGGAGGGAGGAUGGGUUUGAAAAAGGGAGAGAAGGGUGAGUGGCUGAUGGAAGAAAGGGGGAAAGCAGAAAGGAAGAGUUGGGGAGUAAACAUAAAUGUCUGAAAAGACACCCUAAGAAAUGGAACCAAGGUUGGACACUCAAAGUUUCCCCCCAUCUGGGCCCUCUUUGCCCUUGCCCACUUCCUGGGCCCCACAGAAUUCAAGCUGUCAUCACAUCAGAUCUGGGGUGCAGUGCUUGAGGCUCUCCAACCCCUGCCUAACUUUUCAGCUGCCAGUCUCCCUCUCUUUUGGCUUAUCUUGAUCAUUAUUGCAUUCCACCGACGUAGCGCCUCUCUGCCUCUCCGUGCCCUUUCCCUCCCACUGACCACACAAGCUCUAAUUCUUCAACCUGAGCUUCUUGUCUGCACACUUCUGUGAGUGAAUCUCCCACUCCCAGCCUUCUUAUCACUCCCGCUGCAGAAACCCACCUACAUCCUUCUGCCCAGUCUGCAUCCCUCUAGCUCGGUGGUUCUCAACCUUCUUAAUGCUGUGAUCCUUCAGUACAGUUCUUCAAGUUGUGAUGACUCCCGACCAUAACUGGAACUUUGCUGCUGUUAUGAAUCGUAAUGUAAAUAUCCGAUAUGCAGGAUAUCUAAUGUAAUUCCUAUGAAAGGGUUGUGACCCACAAGUUGAGAACCACUGGCCUAGCUCCUAUAUCUCCAUCAGUUCAGGCCCAAGCAAACCUGCUGUCCUCUCCUCCAGAAAAGCUUCCUCCCGCCUCCUACAUUCCUGGACUUUCCCUCUAGGCUAUGCUUUAGGACUGCCACCUGUCAGAGAGUGUUGCUGCCCCUGGGGACCAGAAGUCCCAACAAAGAUGGAACCAAGCAGAAUAUUUAGAGUUUUCCCCACAGGGCCUUGCAAAGGAAAAGCACUCAAUAAUAUUUGGUUAACAAAAAUUAUUCCUGAAAAUACAUGAAGAUGUAAGUCUGUGUGCAAUACAUGUUCCUAAAAUGUGCAAAUGUGCAUACAACUAAUUAUUCAUUCUGAGUUCUAACUUCAGAGAAACAUGCGUGUGUGUGUGUGUGUGUGUGUG